rnacentral:rRNA from 1 species
ACUUGAUCUUGACACAAUCCUACUUGGAUAACUGUGGUAAUUCUAGAGCUAAUACAUGCAUUAAAGCUCUGACCUCACGGGAAGAGUGCAUUUAUUAGAACAAAACCAAGCGGCUUCGGCUGUUUAUGGUUGACUCAUAGUAACUGAGCUGAUCGCAUGGUCUUGCACCGGCGACGUGUCUUUCAAGUAUCUGCCGUAUCAACUUUCGAUGGUAGUGUAUCUGACUACCAUGGUGAUCACGCGUAACGGAGAAUAAGGGUUCGGCUCCGGAGAGUUCGCCUGAGAAAUCGCGAACACAUCUAAGGAAGGCAGCAGGCGCGAAAAUUACCCACUCUCAGCACGAGGAGGUAGUGACGAAAAAUAACGAGACCGUUCUCUUUGAGGCCGGUCAUCGGAAUGGGUACAAUUUAAACCCUUUAACGAGUAUCUAUGAGAGGGCAAGUCUGGUGCCAGCAGCCGCGGUAAUUCCAGCUCUCAAAGUGCAUAGAAUUAUUGCUGCGGUUAAAAAGCUCGUAGUUGGAUCUGUGCCAUAGACCGGGGUCCACCUUCGGGUGCGUACUCCGUGCCUAGGCUUUUUGCUGGUUUUCCCGUCGUAGCCUUCACUGGUUGCGGCGGGUGGCUGGCGAGUUUACUUUGAGAAAAUCAGAGUGCUCAACACAGGCGUAUUGCUUGAAUGAUUGUGCAUGGAAUAAUAGAAAAGGAUUUCGGUCCUCUUUUAUUGGUUUUGUGGACUGAGAUAAUGGUUAACAGGGACAAACGGGGGCAUUCGUAUCGCUGCGUGAGAGGUGAAAU